GAUGAACGCUGGCGGCGUGCCUAAUACAUGCAAGUCGAACGAGGGUAUCCACGUAGCAAUACGAGGGUAUUCCUAGUGGCGAACGGGUGAGUAACACGUUGGUGACCUGCCCCGAAGUGAGGGAUAACACCGCGAAAGUGGUGCUAAUACCCCAUGUGACCCGAGGGAUUAGAGGCCCUUGGUGGAAAGGCGUAAGCCGCUUCGGGAGGGGCCUGCGGCCCAUCAGCUAGUUGGCAGGGUAAUGGCCUACCAAGGCGACGACGGGUAGGGGUCCUGAGAGGGUGGCCCCCCACACGGGCACGGAAACACGGGCCAGACACCUACGGGUGGCAGCAGUAGGGAAUAUUGGACAAUGGGCGAAAGCCUGAUCCAGCAACGCCGCGUGCGCGAUGACGGCCUUCGGGUUGUAAAGCGCUUUUCGGGGGGAUGAGGAAGGACAGUACCCCCGGAAUAAGUCUCGGCUAACUACGUGCCAGCCGCCGCCGCGGUAA
rnacentral:rRNA from 1 species